GCGGGUGUAGCUCAAUGGUAGAGCAGCAGCUUCCCAAGCUGAAUACGGGAGUUCGAUUCUCCUCACCCGCUCCA
rnacentral:tRNA from 1 species